UGGAAAGCGGCGGACGGGUGAGUAACGCGUAGGCAACCUGCCCUUAGCAGAGGGAUAGCCAUUGGAAACGAUGAUUAAAACCUCAUAACACGAUAGCAUCACAUGAUGAAAUCGUCAAAGAUUUAUCGGCUAAGGAUGGGCCUGCGUCUGAUUAACUGGUUGGUGAGGUAACGGCUCACCAAGGUAACGAUCAGUAGCCGACCUGAGAGGGUGAUCGGCCACAUUGGAACUGAGACACGGUCCAAACUUC
rnacentral:rRNA from 1 species